rnacentral:rRNA from 1 species
ACAUGCCUACAACAUAGCGUUAAUGCAUCGUAUCCCAUUAGAACUCCGCAGUUAAGCGUGCUCAUGAUAGAGUAGUACUGAGAUGGGUGACUGCCCGAAAAAUCCUAGUAUUUUACAUGCC